rnacentral:ribozyme from 1 species
UGCCCAGUAACUCCUAUCCCUACCUCCUCGCGGUACUGGCCGGUGUACGAGUAACCUUAGGGAAGAUAUGGUAACCAACUUCGGUGGGAACUCUGGUGGUAUGCCUACAGGGAUGG